UGGGAAUUUUGGACAAUGGGCGAAAGCCUGAUCCAGCAAUGCCGCGUGUGUGAAGAAGGCCUUCGGGUUGUAAAGCACUUUUGUCCGGAAAGAAAUCCUUGGCUCUAAUACAGUCGGGGGAUGACGGUACCGGAAGAAUAAGCACCGGCUAACUACGUGCCAGCAGCCGCGGUAAUACGUAGGGUGCAAGCGUUAAUCGGAAUUACUGGGCGUAAAGCGUGCGCAGGCGGUUUGCUAAGACCGAUGUGAAAUCCCCGGGCGUCAACCUGGGAACUGCAUUGGUGACUGGCAGGCUAGAGUAUGGCAGAGGGGGGUAGAAUUCCACGUGUAGCAGUGAAAUGCGUAGAGAUGUGGAGGAAUACCGAUGGCGAAGGCA
rnacentral:rRNA from 1 species